AUGAACGCUGGCGGCGUGCCUCAUACACGCAAGUCGAGCGAACGGACGAGAAGCUUGCUUCUCUGAUGUUAGCGGCGGACGGGUGAGUAACACGUGGAUAACCUACCUAUAAGACUGGGAUAACUUCGCGAAACCGGAGCUAAUACCGGAUGAUAUUUUGAACCGCAUGGUUCAAAAGUGAAAGACGGUCUUGCUGUCACUUAUAGAUGGAUCCGCGCUGCAUUAGCUAGUUGGUAAGGUAACGGCUUACCAAGGCAACGAUGCAUAGCCGACCUGAGAGGGUGAUCGGCCACACUGGAACUGAGACACGGUCCAGACUCCUACGGGAGGCAGCAGUAGGGAAUCUUCCGCAAUGGGCGAAAGCCUGACGGAGCAACGCCGCGUGAGUGAUGAAGGUCUUCGGAUCGUAAAACUCUGUUAUUAGGGAAGAACAUAUGUGUAAGUAACUGUGCACAUCUUGACGGUACCUAAUCAGAAAGCCACGGCUAACUACGUG
rnacentral:rRNA from 1 species